AGAAUAUUAUGAUUACCAAUUAUUGCCUUGUGACCAGUUACCUAAGCAAGAGUCAUAGUCUCUACCUGAAUUUCUCCUUUUACUGUAUCAUACUCUUGUUUUCUCUUCUCCCAAUAUUUUAUAUAGAAUGUUUAGGGAUACAUUUUAACAUUUUCAGUUUAUGUAUUGGAAAAAUAAGAUUGCAGACAUUCUGCACUUGGAGUUGAAUAAAACUAUUCACAAAACUUUAGGUUGUCUUUCUUUGGGGUAGCCAUAAAGCAGUACACUUGAAGAUGUAUGCCAAAUAGUUAAAGUAUGUUAGACAGUGGUAUUUUUAGAAGAGCAAAUGAGAAGUGAAGCAUAUUCAUUCAAUUAACACAUACUUGCUGAACUACUACUAUGUUCUAGGCAUCAUCUCAGGCUUUGGGGAUACAGGAAUAAACAAAACAGGCAAAGAUCCCUGAUCUUAUGGAGAUUAUAAUUCUAUCAAGAGAAGACAAAAAGAAUGGGUUUUUAAAAAUUGGUAAGUCAGCCCGGCACAGUGGCUCACGCCCAUAAUCACAACAGUUUGGGAGGCCGAGUUGGGCAGAUCAUUUGAAGCCAGGAGUUCGAAACCAGCCUGGACAACAUGAUGAAACCCCAUCUCUACUAAAAAUACAAAAAUUGGCCAGCCAUGGUGGUGGGCACCUGUAAUCCCAGCUACUCAGGAGGCUGAGGGAAGAGAAUCCCUCAAGCCCAGGAGGCGGAGGUUGCAGUGAGCAGAGAUCAUACCACUGCACUCCAGCCUGGGUGACACAGUGAGACCCUGUAUCAAAAAAAAAAAAAAAGGCCGGGCAUGGCAGCUCAUGCCUGUAAUCCCAGCACUUUGGGAGGCCAAGGCAGGCAGAUCACGAGAUCAGGAGUUCAAGACUAGCCUGACCAACAUGGUGAAACCCUGUCUCUACUAAAAAUACAAAAAUUAGCUGGGCGUGGUGGUGUGCACCUGUAAUCUCAGCUACUUGGGAGGCUGAGGUGGGAGCAUUGCUUGAACCCGGGAGGCGGAGGUUGUGGUGAGCUGAGAUCGUGCCAUUGCACUCCAGCCUGGGCAAUAAGAGCGAAACUCCGUCUCAAAAAAAAAAAAAAAAAAAAAGGUUAGGGAAGAGGAUCAGCAAACGACUGAAGUAGUGAUCAAUGGAGUAAAAGAAAAAGUGAAGUAUCCUAAAAUUAGGAUACUAUCAGGGAAGGAGUGACUAAUGGAGUCAAAUAUGGAAGAGGAAAAUUUGGAUUGAAUCUAACAAUGCGCAGGUGACUGGUGACCUUGACAAGAGCAGUUUCGGUGGAAUGAUGAGAGUGAAAACUUGACUGAAAUGAAUUAAACAGAAUGUGGGAGGAGGAAUUGCAGACAGCAGGCAUAAGUGACUCUUUUAAGACAUUUGGCCACAAAGAAUAAGGAACUGGGGUAGUAUGUGGACAGCAUAGUGUAGUGCAUAGUUAUUGUUGAUUUUACUGUCCCAUAUCCAUUCUACCUUCUCAUGGUACAUCAACUUGUCUUCCAGGAGUUACUUCUCCCUCAUUGUAUACUUGCUUUGUGGGACCACGACCUGCACUCAAGCUGUAAGUGUUGCUAGAGAAAAAUAUGUAAGCAUGCUUAACUGGUUUCUCUAUAAAUUCAUGAUACAAAUCUCAAAUGGGACUCAAAACUACCAAAUACUUCUCUAGUUUGUUCACUUUCCAACUUUUCAGAUGACUGUCUCAUUUAUUAUCUCUCCUCAAACCUCCACUUCUCACUCCUCCUCACUUUCAGCAGAUAACAUUGCCUCUAAAUAACUAGAAAAAAGAUACAAUAUUAAAAGUUUCCUGGCAGGGUGCAGUGGCUCACGCCUGUAAUCUCAGCACUUUGGGAGGCCAAGGCAGGCGGAUCACACGAGGUCAGGAGUUCAAGACCAGCCUGGCCAACAUGGUGAAACCCUGUCUCUACUAAAAAUACAAAAAUUUGCUAAGCGUGGUGGCAGGCGCCUGUAAUCCCAUCCACUCGGGAGGCUGAGGCAGGAGAAUCCCUUGAACCCGAGAGACAGACAUUGCAGUGAGCCGAGAUCGCACACUGCACUCCAGCCUGGGGAACAGAAGGUGAUCCAUCUCAUUAAUAAAUAAAUACAUAAAUAAGUAAGUAAAUUUCCUUAUUUUCCCAUAACCUAAUCUACUAAUCUCCUGCUUGUCCACCCUCAUUCUUUGCCUUCCUUCCCUUAUAGUGUGGUGGAUGAAAUACUUCUGCUCUUAACGUCGCCCUGUGACUUUUUUGGCUUCCAUCUUCCCUUAUCCAAAGACUUCAUUAAUACUGUCAUCCCCUCAUUCUCAUGUGUCAAUUUCUCCCCCUUUACUGGAACAGUCCCACAAACCUAUAUUCUAGUGCCGGGCGCGGUGGCUCAUGCCUGUAAUCCCUGCACUUUGGGAGGCCGAGGUGGGCAGAUCACAUGAGGUCACGAGUUCGAGACCAGCCUGAUCAACACGGAGAAACACUGGCUAUACUAAAAAUACAAAAUUAGCUGGGCGUGGUGGCGUGCACCUGUAAUCCCAGCUACGGGAGGCUGAGGUAGGAGAAUCACUUGAACCCGGGAGGCAGAGAUUGCAGUGAGCCGAGAUCACGCCAUUGCACUCCAGCCUGGGCAACAAGAGCGAAACUCCAUCUCAAAAUAAAUAAAUAAAUAAGACAUUCUAGUAUCUCCCAUUUUAAAAAAAUACCUCCCUUGACCCCACAUCCUCCUACUCUUCUGUCCUUCACCACAGCAACAUUUCUCGAAAUAGCUCACUCUAGUUCUUGUCUUUCCUUCUGUGCCAUUCUCUCCUCAACCCACUUCAAAUAGGGUUGUGCGCCUUCCAUCCCCCUGAAAUGGCUUUUGUUAACUGUGUGUUAGUAUGCCCAACGCAUGUAGCAUGUUGUGUCGAAUGCUCACUCCUUUUUCUUCACCUCUGAGCAGCAUUCAACAGUCAUUCUUGCAACUUUCUCUUGGCUUCCUAGAAACCACACUAUCCUGAUUUUCCUCCUACCUCUGAGCCCAUUCCUUUUUAGAUUUCAUGCUACAUUCUCACCUCGUGGGCCUCUAAAACGUUAGAGCAUGCCAGCAUUCAGUCCUUGGACUUCUCUAGUUACACUCUUCCUGAGUGAUCUCAUCCACUUCGAUAUUCAUACCUUAUAGUGCCAUCCACAUGCUUAUGACUCCCAAAUUUACCUCCAACCCAUACAACUCCAGCAACCUCAUUACUUACACCUAAUUCUACAUGUGACAUUUCUGUGUGGAUGACUAAAAGUCACCUUAAAUGAUUCAUAAAGUAUUACAUGUAUUAACAUACAUGACAGGCAGUGUAGCAUACUAGUUAGAAACAUGAUUUCUGGAACAACACGACUUGAAAUCUAAGUCUAUCAGUAUAUAGGUAUGUGACCUUGCAUUAUUUAUCUAUGUAACAAUUUCCUCACGCAUUCAAUGAGGAAAAUAAUAGUAUUUACCUGAUGAGUUCCUGUGAGGAGCAAAUAUGUUAAUGAAAAGUACUUAGAACAGAGUCUGGGCCUGACGCUGCAGCUCACGCCUGCAAUCCCAGCACUUUGAGAGGCAGAGAUGGGUAGAUCACCUGAGGUCAGGAGUUCAAGACCAGCCUGGCCAACAUGGUGAAACCCCGUCUCUACUAAAAAUACAAAAAAUUUGCUGGGCAUGGUGGCGGGCACCUGAAAUCCCAGAUCUUCGGGAGGCUGAGGCAGGAGAAUCACUUGAACCCAGUAGGCGGAAAUUGCAGUGAGCCAAGAUCGCACCACUGCACUCCAGCCUGGGCGACAGAGUAAGAUGCUGUCUCAAAAAACAAUAAAAGCUAAAGGAAGAUUAUUACAACAUCAUACAGGCUUAGACCCCUCAGAAUUGAAGGUUAAGUAAACCAAGUAAAAUGCCACCAUUGACUGAGGUAGAAAAAAAAUAACAAAAUGGAUAUUUUAGGAAGAAUAUUAUAAUUACCAAUUAUUGCUUGUGACCAGUUACCUAAACAAGAGUUAUAGUCUCUACCUGAAUUUCUCCUUUUACUGUAUCAUACUCUUGUUUUCUCUUCUCCCAAUAUUUUAUAUAGAAUGUUUACGGAUACAUUUUAACAUUUUCAGUUUAUGUAUUAGAAAAUUUGGAGAUUAGAUUCCAGACAUUCUGUACUUAAGAGUUGAAUGCAACUAUUCACAAAACUUUUUUGGUUGUCUUUCUUUGGGGUAGCCAUAAAGCAGCACACUUGAAGAUGUAUGCAAAAUAGUUAGUGUUAGGCAGAGAUAUUUUUGGAAGAACAACUAUGAGAAGUGAAGCAUAUUCAUUCAUUUAACACAUAUUUGUUGAACUCCUACUAUGUUCUAGACAUCAUCUCAGGCUUUGGGGAUGCAGGAAUAAACAAAACAGGCAAAGACCCCUCGUCUUAGGAAGAUUAUAUUCUAUCAAGGGAAGACAAAAAGAAACAAUGGGUUUUUUAAAAUUGGUACGUUGACCAGGUGUGGUGGCUCACGCCUGUAACCCCAGCACAUUGGGAGGCCCAGAUGAGCACAUCAUUUGAGAUCAGGAAUUCAAAACCAGCCUGGCCAACAUGGUGAAACUGCAUCUGUACUAAAAAUACAAAAAUUAGUCGGCCGUGGUGGCACACACCUAUAAUCCCAGCCACUCAGGGGGCUGAGUCAUGAGAAUCACUUGAGCCCAGGAGGCGGAGGUUGCAAUGAGCAGAGAUCACACCACUGCACUCCUGCCAGGGUGACAGUGAGACCCCCUUCUCAAAAAGAAGAAAAAGAAAAAAAAAAAGGCACGGAAGAAGAUCAGCAAGAGAAUGGAGGUAGUGAUCAGUGGGGUAAAACAAAAAGGAAGUGUAGUAUCCUAAAAUUAACAUAAAGAAAUUAUUAUCAGGGAAGGAGUAAUCAAUGGAGUCAAAUAUGGAGGUAAGAGGAAAACCUGGAGUGAAUCUAACAAUGUGCAGGUCACUGGUGACCUUGACAAGAGCAGUUUCAGUAAAAUACUGAGAGUGAAACCUUGACUGAAAUGAAUUAAACAGAAUGUGGGAAGAGGAACUGCAGACAGCAGGCAUAAAUAACUCUUUCAAGACAUUUUGCAGCAAAGGAGAAUAAGGAACUGGGAUAGUAAGUGGACUGCGUAGUGUAGAGCAUAGUUACUAUUUUUUUUUUUUCGAGACAGAGUCUGGCUCUGUCGCCCAAGCCGGAGUACAAGGGUGCAAUCUUGGUUCACUGCAACAUCCGCCUCCCGGGCUGAAGCAAUUCUCCUGCCUCAGCCUCCUGAGUAGCUGGGAUUACAGGCACCCACCACCAUGCCUGGCUAAUUUUUGUAUUUUUGAUAGAGACAGGGUUUCACCACGUUGGCCAGGCUGGUCUCAAACUCCUGAUCUCAGGUGAUCCACCUGACUUGGCCUCCCAAAGUGCUGGGAUUACAGGCAUGAGCCACUGGGCAUGGCCAUUACUGUUGAUUUUACUGUCCCAUAUCCAUUCUACCUUCUCAUGGUACAUCAAUUUACCUUCGAGCAUUUACUUCUCUCUCAUUGUAUAUUUGCUUUGUGGGACCAACACCUGCACUCAAACUGUAAGUGUUGCUAGAGAAAAAUAUAUAAGCAUGCUUGACAGGUUUCUCUAUAAAUUCAUGAUACGAAUGUGAAAUGGGACUCAAAACUAUCAAAUAUUUCUCUAGUUUGCUUGCUUUCCAACUUUUCAAAUGACUGUCUCAUUUAUUAUCUCUCCUCAAACCUCCAUUUCUCACUCCUCCUCACUUUCAGCUGAUAACUUUGCCUCUAAACUAGAAAAAAGAAACAAUAUUAAAAGUUUCCUGGCAGGGUGCAGUGGUUCACGCCUGUAAUCUCAGCACUUUGGGAGGCCGAGGGGGGUGGAUCACUUGAGGUCAGGAGUUUAAGACCAGCCUGGCCAACAUGGUGAAACCAAGACUCUACGAAAAAUACAAAAAUUAGCCGGGCGUGGUAGCAGGCGCCUGUAAUCCCAGCUACUCAGGAGACUGAGGCAGGAAAAUCACUUGAACCUGGGAGAAAGAGGAUGCAGUGAGCUGAGACCACGCCACUCCACUCCAGCCUAGGCAACAGAGGGAGAUCCAUCUCAUAAAUAAGUGUCCUUAUUGUCCCACAACCUAAUCUACUAAUCUCUGCUUGUCCACCUUCAUUCUUUGCCUGCCUUCCCUCAUAGUGUGGUGGAUGAAAUACUUCUGCUCUUAACGUCCCGUGACUUUUUGGAUUCCAUUCUCCCUCAUCCUAAGACUUCAGUAAUCCAGUCAUCCCCUCAUUCUCGUGUCAAUUUCUGCCCCUUUACUGGAACAGUCCCAAAAACCUAUAUUCUAGUAUCUCCCAUUUAUUAAAAAUACCUCCCUUAACCCCACAUCCUCCUGCUUUUCUCUGUCCUUCACCACAGCAACAUUUCUCGAAAUAGCUCACUCUAGUUCUUGUCUUUCCUUGUUUCUGUGCCAUUCUCUCCUCAACCCACUUCAAAUAAGGUUGUGCGCCCUCCAUCCCCCUGAAAUGGCUUAACUGCAUGUUAGUAUGCCCAACGCAUGUAGCAUGUUGUGUCGAAUGCUCACUCCUUUUCCUUCAUCUCUGAGCAGCAUUCAACACAGUCAUUCUUGCAACUUUCUCUUGGCUUCCUAGAAACCACACUAUCCUGAUUUUCCUCCUACCUCUGAGCCCACUCCUUUUCAGAUUUCUUGCUACAUUCUCACCUCCUUGGCCUCUAAAAUGUUGGAGCAUGCCAGGAUUCAGUCCUUGGACUUCUCUAGUUACACUCUUCCUGAAUGAUCUCAUCCACUUCAAUAUUGAUACCUUAUAGUGCCAUCUACAUGCUCAUGACUCCCAAAUUUACCUCCAACCCAUACAACUCCAGCAACCUCAUUACUAACACCUAGUUCUACAUGUGACAUUUGUUUGGAUGACAAGUAGUCAUCUCAAAUUUAAUGAUUCAUAAAGUAUUACAUGGAUUAAUAUACAUGACAGGCAGUGUAGCAUACUAGUUAGAAACAUGAUUUCUGGAACAUGACUUGAAAUCUAUCAGUAUAUAGGUAUGUAACUUGGGUAAUUUAUUUAUGUAACUGAAUUUCCUUAUAACUUCAAUGAGAAAAAUAAUAGUAUUUACCUUAAAGGUUCUUGUGAGGAGCAAACUUUUUUUUUUUUUUUUUUUUUUUUUUUUUUUUUAUUUGAGACAGAGGCUUGCUCUUGUCGCCCAGGCUGCAGUGCAAUGGCGCGAUCUCAGCACACUGCAACCUCCACCUCCGGGGUUCAAGCGAUUCUUGUGCCUCAGCCUCCUUGAGUAGCUGGGAUGAGAGGCGCCCGCCACCACGCCCGGCUAAUUUUUAUACUUUUAUUUUAGUAGAGACAGGGUCUGGCCAUGUUGGCCAGGCUGGUCUUGAACACCUGACCUCCAGUGAUCCGUCAGCCUUGGCCUCCCAAAGUGGUGGGAUCACAGGUGUGAGCCACCGCGCCCAGCAAUGAGGAACAAAUAUGUUAAUGAAAAGUACACAGAACAAAAUCUGGGCCUGGCACAUGGAUCAUGCCUGUAAUCACAACACUUUGGGAGGCCAAGGCAGCUGGAUCACCUGAGGUCAGGAGUUAGAGACCAGCCUGGCCAAUAUGGUGAAACCCUGUCUGUACUAAAAAUACAAAAAUUAGCCGGGCAUGGUGGUGGAUGCCUGUAAUCCCAUCUAUUCAGGAGGCUAAGGGAGGAGAAUCACUUGACCCUUGGAGGCGGAGGUUGCAGUGAGCCGAGAUCGCACCACUGCACUCUGCCCUGAGGGACAGAGGGAGACUCCGUCUCAAAAAGAAAAAAAAAAAACAUAAAAGCUAAAGAAAGAGUAUCACACAGGCUUAGAACCCUCAGGAUUGAAGGUUUAGUAAACCAAGUAAAAUGUCACCAUUAACUAAGGUAAAAAAAAAAAAAUACAAAUGGAUAUUUUAGGAAGAAUAUUUUAAUUACCAGUUAUUGCCUUGUGACCAGUUACCUAAGCAAGUGUUAUAGUCUCUACCUGAAUUUCUCCUUUUACUAUAUCAUACUCUUGUUUUCUCUUCUCCCAAUAUUUUAUAUAGAAUGUUUAGGGAUACAUUUUAACAUUUUCAGUUUAUGUAUUAGAAAACUUAGAGAUAAGACUGCAGACAUUCUGCACUUGGAGUUGAAUGCAACUAUUCAUAAAACUUUAGGUUGCCUUUCUUUGGGGUGGCCAUAAAGCAGUACACUUGUAGAUGUAUGCAAAACAGUUCAAGUGUGUUAGAGAUAUUUUUGGAAAAACAACUAUGAAAAGUGAAGCAUAUUCAUUUAACACAUACUUGUUGAACUUCAGGCUUUGGGGAGACAGGAAUAAACAAAACAGGCAAAGAUCCCUCAUCUUAUGGAGAUUAUAUUCUAUCAAGAGAAGACAAAAAGAAACAAUGGGUAUUUAAAAAUAAGUACCCCGGCAGGUCGCGGCGGCUCACGCCUAUAAUCCCAGCUCUUUGGGAGGCUGAGACAGGCAGAUCAUUUGAAGUCAGGAAAUCAAAACCAGCCUGGCCAACAUGGUGAAACCCUGUCUCUACUAAAACUAGAAAAAUUAGCCAAGUGUGGUGGUGAGCGCCUGUAAUACCAGCUACUCAGGAGGCUGAGGCAGGAGAAUCACUUGAGCCCGGGAGGCAAAGGUUGCUGUGAGCAGAGAUCACACCACUGCACUCCUGCCUGGGUGACAGAGUGAGACUCUGUCUCAAAGAAAAAAAAAAAAAUGGAGGUUAGGCAAGAGGAUCAGUAAGAGACUAGGAGUGAUCAGUGGGGUAAAGGAAAAAGAAAGUGGGCUGGGCACGGUGUCUCUCGCCUAUAAUCCCAGCACGCUGGGAGGCCGAGGUUACUGGAUCACCUGAGGUUGGGAGGUCGAGACCAGCCUGGCCAACGUGACAAAACCGCUUCUCUACCAAAAUUACAAAACAUUAGCUAGGGGUAGUGGCGGGCGCCUGUAGUCCCAGCUACUUGGGAGGCUCAGGCAGGAGAAUCACUUGAACCCGGUAGGCGGAGGUUGCAGUGAGCCGAGAUCAUGCCACUGCACUCCAGCCUGGGAAAUAGUUAAGACUCCAUCUCAAAAGAAAAGAAAAGAAAGUGUAGUAUCAUAAAAUUCAAAUAAAGAUAUUCUAUCAGGGAAAAAGUGACUAAUGGAAUCGAAUAUGGAAGAGGAAAAUUUGGAUUGAAUCUAACAAUGUGCAGGUCACCGGUGACCUUGACAAGAGCAGUUUCAGUGGAAUGAUGAGAGUGAAAACUUAACUGAAAUGAAUUAAACAGAAUGUGGGAAGAGGAAUUACAGAUAGCAGGCAUAAGUGACUCUUUUAAGACAUUUGGCCACAAAGGAGAAUAAGGAACUGGGGUAGUAUGUGGACAGCAUAGUGUAGUGCAUAGUUAUUGUUGAUUUUACUGUCCCAUAUCCAUUCUACCUUCUCAUGGUACAUCAAUUUACCUUCGAGCAUUUACUUCUCCCUUAUUGUAUACUUGCUUUGUGGGAUCAACACCUGCAUUCAAGCUGUAAGUACUGCUAGAGAAAAAUACAUAAGCAUGCUUAACUGGUUUCUCUAUAAAUUUAUGAUACAAAUCUCAAAUGGGACUCAAAAAUACCAAAUACUUCUCCAGUUUGUUCACUUUCCAACUUUUCAAAUGACUCUCAUUUAUUAUCUCUCCUCAAACCUCUACUUUUCACUCCUCCUCACUUUCAGCUGGUAACUUUGCCUCUAAAUGGGAAAAAGAAACAGUAUUAAAAGUUUCCUGGCAGGGUGCAGUGGUUCACACCUGUAAUCUCAGCACUUUGGGAGGCUGAGGCGGGCGGAUCGCUUGUGGUAAGGAGUUCAAGACCAGCCUGGCCAACAUGGUGAAACCCCGUCUGUGCUAAAAAUACAAAAAUUAGCCGGGCAUGGUGGCGGGCGCCUGUAAUCCUAUCUACUUGCGAGGCUGAGGCAGGAGAAUUGCUUGAACCUUGGAGACGGAGGUUGUAGUGAACCAGAUCGUGCCACUGCACUACAGCCUGGGCAACAAGAGCAAGACUUAGUCUCAAAAAAAAAAGGACAUACAUUAAAUGCAUUAACGUGAUUGCCAGUGGUAGGUGAAUGAAUGUAUGGGAGUGGGAAUGGGGAAGUAAAGUAAAAACAAAAUGAGGAGGGCUCUGUGUGUACUAAUCAGAAUACACCAAAAUACUUGAGGAGUAUGACGAGCUCAGGAGACGAAGAAACUCAGCUUAUCUUGUCCUUGACAAAAUGCUGAUCUAACAAAGUGCUGGUUCCUUCCCCUCAUUCCACCCCUAAAGAUGACACACAAGAAGAAAAUUGAUGAAAAUAAUAAAAUCUAACACUUAUGCAGCAUUUACCAUAUGCCAGGAACUAUUAACUCAUUUAUCUUAGCAGCCAAUGCUAUGAGAUAAUUAUUAUUCCCAUUUUAUAGAUGAGAAAACUAGUGAGGUUAAGCAACUUGCCCAAGGUCACACACCUGGUAAUGCUGAAACUGGGAUUUGAACUCAGUCUAGAUAGAACAGAGAAACACCUAGAGGAGGGAGAGGGUGAGUUUGGGGUAGGAAUGGAAGUCAGGGAAGGGUAGCCUAAAACGGAGGAAGAGGGGGCUCCAUGGACAGAGGAGAAGCUAGGGGUGAAAUGUGUCAUUGUGCCCUUUCUCCUCCAACAUUGCACCAGAAAGAUCAUCUCCCACCUCAUCACCACAGCAAGACAAAGAACAUCUGCGCCAAGCCAGCUGGAGGUGGGUUCCAUUUAGGCAGCACUGGAGCCCAGUUGGAUGGGGGGGCAUAUUACAUGUGCAGGCACACAGGCCACCCUGAAAACUACACCUUCAGCUAGUCAAUACAACUUAUACUUUCAAGGCAAGGAUUUGGCCAUAUGUUCCUUGAGGAAUUCUUUCCAAAAAAAAAAAAACCCCUGAAGAAAUUGACAUCAGGGUAUCUUAUUCUGUUUUCUGUUGUUAUAACUAAGUACCUGUGACUGGGUAAUUUAUAAAGAAUUGAUUUCUUUCAGUUCUGCUUGCUGAGAAGUCCAAGGUCAAGAGGCCACAUCUGGUGAGAGCCUCCUUGCUGGUGGGGACGCUGCAGAGUCCCAAAGCAGUGCAGGGUAUCACAUGGUGAAGAAGCUGAGCGUGCUAGCUCUGGUCUCUUCCUCUUCUCAUGAAGCCACCAGUCCCAGUCCCAUGAUAAUCCAUUAACCCAUUAAUCCACGAAUCACUGAGAAUUGAGUUUCAACAUGGGAGGGGCACAGUGGCUCAUGCCUAUAAUCCCAGCACUUUGGGUGGCCGAGGCAGGCAGAUAACUUGAGGUCAGGAGUUCGAGAUCAGCCUGGCCAACAUGGUGAAACCCCGUCUCUACUAAAAAUAUAAAAAUUAGCUGGGCGUGGUGGCACCCAUCUAUAAUCCCAGCUACUUGGGAGGCUGCAGCAGGAGAAUUGCUUGAAGCUGGGAGGCGGAGGUUGCAGUGAGCCAAGAUAGCGCCAUUGCACUCCAGCCUGGGCCACAAGAGUGAAACUCCAUCUCAAAAAAAAAAGUUUCAACAUGGGUUUCGGAGGGAACAUUCAAACCAUAGCACAGGGGUUCACCAACAAACAGCACCCACAGUGAAGCACAGUAAAAAAGCCCUCAGAGAUUACAAACAUGUUAAUCCCCUCUCUUCUUAUAAUCAUGAACACAGAGCCAAAACUUUCCAAUUAUUUGAGGAAAGCCCCUAGUAAGAAGUUUGAAGUAGAAAAAAACAGCAAUAGUAACUUCAAAGGAAAAAAAUCCACUCUGCAGGAAGAAAACUUUAGGACUUUAAAAAAUUAGUAUCCUUAGAGAGCUUACUAUAAAACUACAGUAAUCAGGCCAGGCACAGUGGCUCACGCCUGUAAUCCCAGUACUUUAGGAAGCCAAGGCUGGUGGAUCACCUGAGGUCAGGAGUUUGAGACCAGCCUGGCCAACAUGAUGAAACUCCAUCUCUACUAAAAAUACAAAAAGUAGCCAGGCGUGGUGGUGGGUGCCUGUAAUCCCAGCUACUCGGGAGGCUGAGGCAGGAGAAUCACUUGAAUCAGGGAGAUGGAGGUUGCAGUGAGCCGAGAUCAUGCCAUUGCACUCCAGCCUGGGGUGACAAGAGCAAAACUGUGUCUAAAAAAAAAAAACACCCUACAGUAAUCAAGGUAAGGAUAGACAUAGACAUUACCGAUCAAUUUUUUUAAGUACAGUAACGGACCCAGGUAUGUAUGUUUCCUAUUAAGAUACUGAAGUACUGGAGGCUAGUCUUUUCAAAAAAAGAUGCUCAAAGGCCUAUCUGUAUUUGAAAAAAUCAAUUUCAACACCUACCUCAUACCCAAAAAAAUUCAAAAUGGAUUACAGACAUAAUAUAAAAGUUAAAACCACAAAACUUGUCCAGGCAUGGUGUCUCAUGUAUGUAAUCUUAGCACUUUGGGAGGCCUAGGCACGUGGAUCCCUUGAGCUCAGGAGUUGAAGGCCAGCCUGAGCAACAUGGUGAAACCUUGUCAUGAGGUUUUGAGACCCAGUCACAAAAAAACUUACAAAACUUCUAGAAGACAGGAAAAAAUAUUUAUGACCAGGCAGUAGGCAAUUUUGUUAGGUCACAGAAACCAAGAACCAUUUUUGUUAAAUUAGAUUUCAUUUGCUCAUUGAAAAAAAUAAAAAAUAGGCAAGGCAGACUGGGAGAAGAUAUUCGUAACAUAUCUGACAAUUUGUAUCCAGAACAAAUAAAUAAAUUCUGUAACAUUUAAAAAGCAGGCAACCCAAUUUUUAAGACAGACAAAAGUCUUAGACACUUUGUGAAAGUAGUUAUACACACGGCUAAUUAAGCACGUGAGAAACUGCCCAUCAGCCUGGCCAACAUGGCGAAAUCCCAUCUCUACUAAAAAUACAAAAAUUGCCGGGCGAGGUGGCUCACGCCUGUAAUCCCAGCACUUUGGGAGGCCGAGGUGGGUGGAUCACAAGGUCAGGAGUUCAAGGCCAUGCUGACCAACAUGGUGAAACCCCAUCUCUACUAAAAAUACAAAAAUUAGCUGAGCGUGGUGGCGCAUACCUGUAAUCCCAGCUACUCAGUAGGCUGAGACAGGAGAAUCCCUUGAACCCAGGAGGCAGAGGUUGCAGUGAGCUGACAGCAUGCCACUGCACUCCAGCCUGGACGACAGAACAAGACUCCAUCUCAAAAAAAAAAAAAAAAAAAAAAAAAGCAAAAAUACAAAAAUUAGCCCGGCAUAUGGACUGGGCACGGGGGCUCACGCCUAUAAUCCCAGCACUUUGGGAGGCCAAGGUGGGUGGAUCACAAGGUCAGGAGAUCAAGACCAUCCUGGCUAACAUGGUGAAACCCCAUCUCUACUAAAAAUACAAAAAAUUAGCCGAGCGUUGUGGCGGGCGCCUGUAGUCCCAGCUACUCAGGAGGCUGAGGCAGGAGAACGGCGUGAACCCAGGAGGCGGAGCUUGCAGUGAGCGGAGAUCGUGCCACUGCACUCCAGCCUAGGCGACAGAGCGAGACUCAGUCUCUAAAUAAAUAAAGUAAUUAAAUUAAAUUAGUCCAGCAUAGUGGUGGACGCCUGUAAUCCCAGCUACUCGGGAGGCUGCAGCAGAACUGCUUGAACCCAGGAGGUGAAGUUUGCAGUGAGCCGAGAUUGCGCCACUGCACUCCAGCCUGGGUGACAGAGCGAGACCCCGUUUCAGAAAAAAAAAACACAAAACUCCCAGUAUGAAGUGCAAUGUGAGAUACUGGAGUAGAUCCUGCAAUGGAGAGAAGACAGUAGAAAAUAUGUGAAAUCUAAAGUCUUUUUUGAGACAUGGUCUCACUGUCACCCAAGCUGGAGUGCAGUGGUGCCAUCACGGCUCACUGCAGCCUCAACUUCCUAUGCUCAGGCCAUCCUCCCAUCUCAGCCUCCUGACACCACACCCAGCUAAUUUUUGUAUUCUUUUGUAGAGGUGGGUCUUGCUAUGUUCUCCAGGCUGGUCACCUGGGCUCAAGUGGUCUACCUUGGCGUCCCAAAAUGCUGGGAUGACAAACAUGAGACAUCACACCCAACCUAGUCUGGAGUUUAGUUAAUGGUAAUAUACCAAUGUUAAUCUCUUAGUUGACAAAUACCAUAAUAAUGUAAGAUAUUAAAAUUAGGGGAAAUUGGGUAAUGCGUAUGAGAACUCUCUACUUUGCAACUUCUGAGAAUUUAAAAUUAUCCCCAAAUAAAGCCUUUUUAAAAAAGUGCUCAGCAUCAUUAGUCAUCAGGGAAAUGUGAAUUAAAAUCAAUACUACCCCACCCACCAGAAUGGUUAAAAUGAAACUGAUCAAUAGCAGCACAUGUUGUUAAGGAUGUUGUGGAGGAACCAGAAUUCUCAUAAAUUGCUAAUGAGGCCGGGCACGGUGGCUCAUGCCUGUAAUCCUAGCACUUGGGAGGCCAAGGAGGGUGUAUCACCUGUCAGUUUGAGACCAACCUGGCCAACAUGGCGAAACCUCGUCUCUACUAAAAAUACAAAAAUUAGCUGGGUGUGGUGGUGGGUGCCUGUAAUCCCAGCUACUUGGGAGACUGAGGCAGGAGAAUCGUUUGAACCCAGGAGGCAGAGGUUGCAGUGAGCCAAGAUCAUGCCACUGCACUCCAGCCUAGGCGACAGAGAGGCCGUCUCAAAAAAAAAAAAAAAAAAAAUUGCUACUGAGGGCAUAAAAUGGUACAACCACUCUGGGAAAACUCUGGUAGUUUCUUAAAAAUUAAACAUACAGCAGAUCUUUUAAAAACGUCAUUUUAGUGAACAUCAUUUUGUUGAGGAAAAAAAAAAAAUCAACUCCUGGCUGGGACCACUGUGCGGAGUUAACACAUCCUUCCCGUGUCUGCAUUGGCUUUCUCUCUGGGUACUCCUGUUUCCUCCCAUAUCCCAAAGGUAAACUUGCAAGUCUGAAUGGUUCCGAUCUGAGUGAAUGUGGGUGUGAGCAUGUCCUGCAAUGGGAUGGUCUCCUGGCCAAGAUCGGUUCCCACCUUGGCCUUGAGCUGGCUAGACAGGUUCUAGUUUCCUGAGACUCUGAACUGAAAUAACUGGGUAAAUAACUAGAUAGCUUUUCAACUCUUCUUAAGUAACUGGGUAAAGAACUAUAUAGCUUUUCAACUUUUCUUAAACGUAUGCACAGCUCACGUUUAUUUCAAUGUUUAGUAUUAGAUGUGUUUUGGCUUUUAUUUGGCACCAGGCGCAGUGGCUCACACCUGUAAUCUCAGAACUUUGGGAGGCGGAGGAAGGAUUGCGAAAUUCAAGCCCAGCCUGGGCAACAAAGGGAGACCCCCGCCGUCUCUUUAAAAAAAAAAAAAAAAAAAAAACGCCAGGCAUGCUAGCACACGCCUGUAGUCCCAGCUACUUGGGAGGCUGAGGUGGGAGGAUUGCUUGAGUCCAGGAGGUCAAGGCUGCAGUGAGUCAUAAUAGCACUACACUCCAGCCUGGGCAACAGAGUACAAUGUCUCAAAAAAAGUUUGACACUUUUAACUACAAAUAUGUUGCAGGAACUUAAAUUUUUUGUCAAUUAGCCUACGGUAAAGCUGGUUUCAUUAUAAAAGUUUCCAAGAACCCUUCAAGAAAUCUUCAACAAUGUUAAGAUUUACUGUAUUAUCUACCCUGUCACUUCAUGAAUUCCACUCGACAUUUACCAAAAAUAAACUGUUACGUCCAAGACUCGUACAAGAAUACUCAUAGCAGUAUUUGUAAUAGCCAAAAAUUGGAACUAGCCCAGAUGUCCAUCAAUAGUUACUUCAUGCACUGCAACUCUACUCUGCAAUAAAAGGAAUAUACAUGCAACUAUGUGGAUGAAUCUGAAAACAUUCUGUAAGCAGCUAGACAUAAACUACAUCAACAGAAUUUACAUAAUCAAAAUUUGCAAAAAAUAUCUUAUGAUGGAAAUCAGGUCAGUGUUUGUUGCUGGUGUUGGGAGGUGGUCUAUUGACUGAGAAGGGGCACACACAACUUUCCGGAGCUAAGUUCUGUGUCUUGAUGUGCUAAGCGUUUCUCAAGACUGAUCAAACUGUACAUGAGAUCAGUGCAUUUCACCAUACUUUUUUUCAAGUACUACUCAUUGCUGAGAGGAUAAGCCACAAAUUCACCAUAAGGGCUAAACUGUUAACACCAGAUACUGACAAGGCAUGGAAUAACUCACACAUCAUUGGCUAAGUGUUUCCACAGUAUUACUUUGGAAAAAAUGCCUAGCCAUCUCUCAAAAAAUGUACAUCUAUCCUGAUUCAGCAAUUCCACACCCGUUUUCAUCUCAGUAAUUACAAAAACAAAAGCUACUGUGAGAACAUUUAUAGCAACUUUAUGCAUGAAAGCCAAAAACCAGAAAAGGCCCAGGUUUCCAUGAAUGGGAAAGCAUACCAUACUCGGCAACAUGGAACUACUGAUGUAUACACGGCUAAAACUCAAGUACUUUGAGAUGAUGGUAAUUAUCCAUCAUUGAUAGAGUAUACAUUUCUCAGUUCAUAAAACAGUACCCUUAAUACUUGAGUAUUUCAGAUUUAAAUGUUAUCUUAAAAAUUGAUUAAAGUUGAACUAAUUGAUACAAAAGUUCAAGUUACUUUUCAGGAAGUAUACUGACAUGUGCAACAUAAAGUAUUGACGGGAUGAGUAGAGAGAUGUUUUCCUGGAACAAUAGGUAUAGAACUGGCUGCGCGUUGUAGCUCACACCUGUAAUCCCAGCACUUUGGGAGGCCAAGGUGGGCAGAUCACUUGAGUUCAGGAGGUUCAAGACCAGGCUGGCCAACAUGAUGACAACCCCAUCUCUACUAAAACACAAAAAUUAGCUGGGUGUGGUGGCGCACGCCCGUAAUCCCAGCUACUUGGGAGGCUGAGGUAGGACAAUCGUUUGAACCCGGGAGGCGGAGGUUGCAGCGAUCCGAGAUGGUGCCACUGCACUCCAGCCUGGGGGACAUGGUGAGACUCCAUCUCAUUAAUAAACCCCCCCAAAAAAACAGGUGUAGAGCUGAGAUUAUUUACAGAAUGACAAUACUUAGGGCUUUCUCUGCCAUCUUAAUGCUUAGCUGCAUUCUUUCUCCAUGUGCUGAGUUCUGUUCAACUGACUACAUAACCCAAAUGCAAUGCCCAGUUUUAGACACAAACGAACAUCAACUAGUCAGAUAUAUACAGGACACUAGGUAAAGCAGAGAAACUGAAAACUGCAAAUUCAGAAGCAUAUUAUCACAUGCAUUGCUUGACCCAAAGUAUUUGGAAUCCACAGCCACAACUGAGUUGUUGCUGACCUGUUUUUCCCCAAGAGGUAAGCAGGAAUUACAUAAAAGCACUACAGUUGACUCCUGGUUUAUUUAGCCUCUGCUUCUUAGGUGUGUGAUUGUGCUUCCAUUUAACUUUUAGGGUGAGGACUGAAUGAAGUCAUCUACAUUCCCCCUGAAGCUCACUCUCAAUAAAGGAGGCCUAGUCACAAAAACAGCCUCAAUGACUCUGGACAUUCCCAUGCAAAACUGAUUAAGUGCCAUCAAUGCAACAGAGGUAGUGUUUGGGGGAGGGGGACAUGGGAAAAACAUUUAAAAACAUAAACCCCUAAUUUCUAAGUAAAGAAGAGCCCCUUGCCACAAAAAAAG
rnacentral:lncRNA from 1 species